rnacentral:ncRNA from 2 species
GACUUACCCCACGGGUGCCCAAUGCAUUGGGCUGAGAUUGCGCGCUGUUGCUGCGCGGGACCGUUCGAACCUGUCUGGUUAACACCAGCGAAGGAAGCGAGGAUUGAUUGUCC